AACAAAGCGUUGACGAGACGAGUAGGUUAUCCGGAGGGUCACAGAGAGAGAUGCAUAGCUGAGAGCAUUUUACAGAAGGAUAAUUGAAGACUACCUCUGAGCGACUCUAAUCAAGUCCGGUGAUUCCGUUAUAAUCAGAAUGAGAGGCUUUUGUCAGAAUAGAUUUUGACAGAAACAAUCAGGGUGGAACCGCGUAUUUUACGUCCCUGUU
rnacentral:ncRNA from 1 species